rnacentral:rRNA from 1 species
UACGGAAGGGGCAAGCGUUGUUCGGAAUCAUUGGGCGUAAAGGGCGCGCAGGUGGUUCUGUAUGUCUGCCGUGAAAGCAUACAGCUCAACUGUAUUGUGUCGGUAGAAACUGCAGGACUUGAGGCUGGGAGGGGCUGGUGGAAUUCCCUGUGUAGCGGUGAAAUGCGUAGAGAUGGGGGAGAACACGCGUGGCGAAGGCGACUACCUGGCCUGUUCUUGACGCUGAGGCGCGAAAGCUAGGGGAGCAAACGGG